rnacentral:rRNA from 1 species
UAGGGAAUCUUCGGCAAUGGACGAAAGUCUGACCGAGCAACGCCGCGUGAGUGAAGAAGGUUUUCGGAUCGUAAAACUCUGUUGUUAGAGAAGAACAAGGACGUUAGUAACUGAACGUCCCCUGACGGUAUCUAACCAGAAAGCCACGGCUAACUACGUGCCAGCAGCCGCGGUAAUACGUAGGUGGCAAGCGUUGUCCGGAUUUAUUGGGCGUAAAGCGAGCGCAAGCGGUGUCUUAAGUCUGAUGUGAAAGCCCCCGGCUCAACCGGGGUGGGUAAUUGGAAACUGGGAGAGUUGAGUGCAGAAGAGGAGAGUGGAAUUCCAUGUGGAGCGGUAAAAUGCGUAGAUAUAUGGAGGAACACCAGUGGCGAAGGCGGCUCUCUGGUCUGUAACUGACGCUGAGGCUCGAAAGCGUGGGGAGCAAACAGG